rnacentral:rRNA from 1 species
AUUGAACGCUGGCGGCAGGCCUAACACAUGCAAGUCGAGCGAGCGGCGGACGGGUGAGUAAUGUCUGGGAAACUGCCUGAUGGAGGGGGAUAACUACUGGAAACGGUAGCUAAUACCGCAUACCAUCAGAUGUGCCCAGAUGGGAUUAGCUAGUAGGUGGGGUAACGGCUCACCUAGGCGACGAUCCCUAGCUGGUCUGAGAGGAUGACCAGCCACACUGGAACUUAGACACGGUCCAGACUCCUACGAGAUGCAGCAGUGGGGAAUAUUGCAUAACGGGCGCAAGCCUGAAGCAGCCAUGCCGCGUGUGGUAAGGAGGCCUUCGGGUUGUAAAGCACGUUCAGCGGGGAGGCGUUACCCGCAGAAGAAGCACAGGAUAACUCCGGGCCAGCAGCCGCGGUAAUAC